GUAAUCCCAGCACUUUGGGAGGUUGAGGUAGCUAUGACAUACCUAAGUUAUUCAUGUACUAAUACCUGCCCUGAGCUAUUUGACCAUGGACACCAUGCUAUAAUNNNNNNNNNNUAAUGCCAUCAAAUAUCAAUAAAGGGUCUUCCCAUUAUUUAUCAGCUUUGGGAUAUGUGCUGAGGAGUGGCCGAGCACUGAAAGAAUGUGAUCGGUUGUCCCAAGUGUUGUUCUCCAACUCAAAAUCCGCAACCAGUUCAAAAGCAUUUGGACUUUUAUGUGCCUUUCACAUAAAGACUAUGACAUACCUAAGUUAUUCAUGUACUAAUACCUGCCCUGAGCUAUGUGACCAUGGACACCAUGCUAUAAUGUGGCUAGUGUGUAGGAACUCUGCAGGCUCAGAUCAUUCCAGACAUACAUGCAGAUGUUGGAAGUCCCUUGCACAGUGACUCAUGAUCCCACGGCUGAGUGCUGAGGGCAGGUCAGUAGUUCAGAGCCUCAGCAUUGGGGCCCUGUGCUUCGGUUCCCAUCUUGGCUCUUUUGCUUAGAGGCUCAUAAGCUUGGGCACAUUCAUCUCCGUCUUUUUCUGCCCAGCAAAAGAUGAUAGUAAAUCAAUCAUGCCAUAUGUCUGUGGUGAUGGCUGAAUGAUUCGAUGUAGCUAAAGUAUACAGCAUAAGUGCUCAUGAGGUUUAAUUAUCAGUGAAAUGUCUUGCUUUAGAUUUCACAGCUUAAUAAGGUUCAGAGAUUCAUUCAAGUCCAGGAUUCUGAACUCCCAACCCAUUGCUCUAUGAAAUACACCUGCUUGGCCUAAACCCAACAACUUUAUCAUAAUUCAGACCCAGUUUUGAAAGAAGCAGAUAAAGUUGUCAAAAGUGCUGUGUCUGCCUGAGUGCACACUCAGUGCCCUCCAUGAUAAAUAAUGGGAAGAACCUUUAUUGAUAUUUGAUGGCAUUACAAACUUCAAAUGACAGCUAUAGAAAUGUUAAAAAAAAAAGUCUGUGAGCUACACAACCUGGUGACAAGACAAGAACACAAUAUACCACCUAAUCAUUAGUCUCAUGUAUCACCCUGGUUGCAACUCCCUUGACAAAGGAUACCACUAUCUGCCACAACGACCCAGUGGCCUGG
rnacentral:lncRNA from 1 species